UAUGACCACAGUUUCAUUCACAUUUAGGCAAUAUUCAGGUACAGUUUUCUAAUAAAUCCAACUGUAUUAUAAACACAAACUAUCUCUGGACUGCCAACAUGGAGAGACAUAUGCUGCUCAUGAUUCUCAUUGUAGUUACAGGUGGAUUUGCUGACAGAAUUGGACCAGGAGAAGGAAAUACUAAUAUAAUGAAGGGAGAAGGAGAGUCUGUGACACUGACAUGUUCAUAUGAUGCAAGCAGCAAUUAUGUUUGGCUUUACUGGUACAGACAGUAUCCAAAAGGAGAACCUCAGUACAUACUGUGGAAAGGUGCUCGAGAAUACAGCUCUGAUACAUAUUCUAAUAUACCAGACCAUCGGUUUCAGUCAAAAACAUCCCAGUCAUCCACUGAACUCAUUAUUGAUAAAGCAGCUCUGUCAGAUUCAGCUCUCUAUUAUUGUGCUCUAAGAGUUGUAGCCCAAUGA